UACGUAGGGGGCAAGCGUUGUCCGGAUUUAUUGGGCGUAAAGAGCGUGUAGGCGGCCAGAUAGGUCCGUUGUGAAAACUGGAGGCUUAACCCUCCAGACGUCGACGGAAACCGCGCGGCUAGAGUCCGGAAGAGGAGAGUGGAAUUCCGUGGUGUAGCGGUGAAAUGCGCAGAUAUCAGGAAGAACACCAAUGGCGAAGGCAGCUCUCUGGGACGGUACUGACGCUGGAGACGCGAAAGCGUGGGGAGCGAACAGG
rnacentral:rRNA from 1 species